rnacentral:rRNA from 1 species
AUUGAACGCUGGCGGCAGGCCUAACACAUGCAAGUCGAGCGGAUGAAGGGAGCUUGCUCCUGGAUUCAGCGGCGGACGGGUGAGUAAUGCCUAGGAAUCUGCCUGGUCGUGGGGGAUAACGUCCGGAAACGGGCGCUAAUACCGCAUACGUCCUGAGGGAGAAAGUGGGGGAUCUUCGGACCUCACGCUAUCAGAUGAGCCUAGGUCGGAUUAGCUAGUUGGUGGGGUAAAGGCCUACCAAGGCGACGAUCCGUAACUGGUCUGAGAGGAUGAUCAGUCACACUGGAACUGAGACACGGUCCAGACUCCUACGGGAGGCAGCAGUGGGGAAUGUUGGACGAUGGGCGAAAGCCUGAUCCAGCCAUGCCGCGUGUGUGAAGAAGGUCUUCGGAUUGUAAAGCACUUUAAGUUGGGAGGAAGGGCAGUAAGUUAAUACCUUGCUGUUUUGACGUUACCAACAGAAUAAGCACCGGCUAACUUCGUG